AGAGUUUGAUCCUGGCUCAGAUUGAACGCUGGCGGAAUGCUUACACAUGCAAGUCGAACGGUAGAGGGGGCAACCCCUUGAGAGUGGCGAACGGGUGAGUAAUAUAUCGGAACGUGCCCAGUCGUGGGGGAUAACGUAGCGAAAGUUACGCUAAUACCGCAUACGAUCUAAGGAUGAAAGCGGGGGAUCGCAAGACCUCGCGCGAUUGGAGCGGCCGAUAUCAGAUUAGGUAGUUGGUGGGGUAAAGGCUCACCAAGCCAACGAUCUGUAGCUGGUCUGAGAGGACGACCAGCCACACUGGAACUGAGACACGGUCCAGACUCCUACGGGAGGCAGCAGUGGGGAAUUUUGGACAAUGGACGCAAGUCUGAUCCGGCCAUUCCGCGUGCAGGAUGAAGGCCCUCGGGUUGUAAACUGCUUUUGUACGGAACGAAAAGGUUUCCAUUAAUACUGGGGGCUCAUGACGGUACCGUAAGAAUAAGCACCGGCUAACUACGUGCCAGCAGCCGCGGUAAUACGUAGGGUGCAAGCGUUAAUCGGAAUUACUGGGCGUAAAGCGUGCGCAGGCGGUUAUGUAAGACAGAGGUGAAAUCCCCGGGCUCAACCUGGGAACUGCCUUUGUGACUGCAUAGCUAGAGUACGGUAGAGGGGGAUGGAAUUCCGCGUGUAGCAGUGAAAUGCGUAGAUAUGCGGAGGAACACCGAUGGCGAAGGCAAUCCCCUGGACCUGUACUGACGCUCAUGCACGAAAGCGUGGGGAGCAAACAGGAUUAGAUACCCUGGUAGUCCACGCCCUAAACGAUGUCAACUGGUUGUUGGGUCUUCACUGACUCAGUAACGAAGCUAACGCGUGAAGUUGACCGCCUGGGG
rnacentral:rRNA from 1 species